CUCCAGCUCAGUGCGGACAGAAACCACAUAUAGAGCAAAAGGGCAAAUGCUGACUUGAUCUCGGUGUUCAGUACACACAGGGACAGCAAAAGCUCGGCCUAUCGAUCCUUUUGGUUUAAAGGGUUUUUAACAAGAGGUGUCAGAAAAGUUACCAUAGGGAUAACUGGCUUGUGGCGGCCAAGCGGUGCUCACGGAGG